GCCAAAAAUUUAGCCUCUCCUCAUCUUAUGAUAUCAAUUAACCUAUUAUUAUUAACUAAAUCAUUUUAUAAAUUUAGUAAAGGUGAUUAAAAUAUUUAUUUGAGCUAUAAAAAUUGUACCGCAAGGGAAUAAUGAAAUAAAAAUGAAAUAAAUUUUAAGCAAUAAAAAGUAGAGAAUUUACCUCGUACCUUUUGCAUCAUGGUUUAACUAGUAAAACUAAGCAUAAUGAUUUAUAGUUUAACUUCCCGAAACUAAGCGAGCUACUUCUAGGCAGCUAAAUGAGCAAACCCGUCUCUGUUGCAAAAGAGUGGGAAGACCUUUAAGUAGAGGUGAUAGACCUAACGAGCUUAGUGAUAGCUGGUUACUCAAUAAAAGAAUUUUAGUUCUACCUAAAGUUUUUUUGAUACCUAAAAAUAAAACCUCAACUUUAGAGCUAUUCAAAUAAGGUACAGCCUAUUUGAAACAGGACACAACCUAAAUCUUUGGGUAAACAAAUGUUAAAUUUUAUUAAGUGGGCCUAAAAGCAGCCACCUUUAAUAUAGCGUCACAGCUUAAUUCUACACACAUUUUAUACCUCUAAUUAUAAUGAACCCUCUUUUAAUAUUGAGUAAUUCUAUAAUAUUAUAGAAAUUAUUAUGUUAAAACUAGUAAUAAGAAAAGACCUUCUCUUUAAUGCAAGUGUAAAUCAGAUAGGACAAACCACUGAUAAUUAACAUUAGUAACUAAACUUUAGCAACUUAACAAGAAAAUUCUAAUAAAUUUUAUGUUAACCUAACACAAGAGCAUUACAAGAAAGAUUAAAAGAAAAAGAAGGAACUCGGCAAACAUAAACCUCGCCUGUUUACCAAAAACAUCGCCUCUUGACACACAUAAGAGGUCCAGCCUGCCCAGUGACUUUGUUCAACGGCCGCGGUAUCCUAACCGUGCGAAGGUAGCGUAAUCACUUGUUCUUUAAAUGUGGACUAGUAUGAAUGGCAUCACGAAGGUUUUACUGUCUCCUCUUUCUAAUCAAUGAAACUAAUCUCUCCGUGAAGAAACGGAAAUACUAAUAUAAGACGAGAAGACCCUAUGGAGCUUUAAACUACUUAUCAUUUGUUUAAACUCACUAAUUUCAGAAAUUUAAUAUGCAAUCUAACUUCCUGAUAGUUAGUUUUAGGUUGGGGUGACCGCGGAGUAUAAAAUAACCUCCAUAAUGAAAAGGAAUACUUCCUGAACAAAAAGCUACAACUUUAUGUACCAAAAAAUUGACACAAUUGACCCAAUAUAUUGAUCAACGAACCAAGUUACCCUAGGGAUAACAGCGCAAUCUACUUCAAGAGCUCCUAUCGACAAGUAGGUUUACGACCUCGAUGUUGGAUCAGGGUCUCCCAGUGGUGCAGCCGCUACUAAAGGUUCGUUUGUUCAACGAUUAAAACCCU
rnacentral:rRNA from 1 species